UUUGAUUGCCUUUCUGUCUCCUCUGUCUGGGGGUUAUAGUGCUGGAGAGCACUGCCAGGGGCUUACGAGGUGAGAGAGGAUGGAGCACUGUUGAUUAGAUUCACAUUCUUCCUCUCUCUGCAUGCUUUGAUUUCUCUACCCACCUGUUUUAUCAUUAGAUCAUUUUUAUCUUCCAUGAGGAGGAGCUGGAACCAAUUUCUGAAAUCCUGGAGAAGCUGUGUUGUCAUGAGAUCCCGGAAAUCCUGACCUCUUCCUCUGGGUGAUGAUGACAGGGGUGUCGUUGAUUUACUAUCCACCCAUGGAACCAUCAUAUGGAUUUCUAAACCCACAUGCCAGCAAAAAAAGAAAGAAACCAUGUGGUACACAAC
rnacentral:lncRNA from 1 species